CUUCUCCUUCCUUCACGCCUCUUCUCCUCACGAAACAAGAGCAAUUAAAUCUCAGAAAAUGGAAAACCCCAAAACUUUCGAAUCUACACAAAUCAAAUCUCAGAAAUCAAAAUCACAAAGAGAGAAAUAUCUCAGAAAACCUUCGAAUCUCACUCGAUCUCCAAAGUCACCUUCUUUGUUUUCCCCAAAUUUGAUCGAAACGACGAACAAGAGGAAUCCCUAGGAUUUGUUCGAGAAAUUUUAUUUAUUUGUGCGAUUGAUGAUACUUACGAAUACAGGUGGGGAUUCGACGGUGCAGGGUUCGAGGACGACUGACGGCAAGGUGGAGUCUGGAUCAGAAAGAAGGGGGACUCAACAAAAAAAUCUGAUGUUACUGAAGAUGACUGGGAAGUUGUUGAGCUCAACGCUCAGAGUGCUGAGGCUACUAUCUUGAAUCAGAAGCUGAAAAGUGGCGCAGAUUUUGAUUAACCCAACUUCUAGGUAUCAUUUCAAUCUCUUAAAGACAGCUCUUAUCCCUUUGGCGGAGUUCAGACAACCCUAAGUUAUGAAGAAGUACGAGGUUCUGCCUGACAUUGAAGUUCUCAUGGUAGCUCCUGAGGCUGGUAUAUCUUUUUUGUUCAAUAUUUUCUGUUAGCCAAGUUUUGCCAGCCACAUGUCUUCACUUCUCUGCAUUUGAAAUAUUACCUAUACUGCUAACACCAUGGAAGAGUAGGCAAGACCCCCAUUUUGCCCAAAUUCCGACUUUUAUAUAGUAAUUGUGAGUGCAGGUAACCCAUAGUUUAUCCCGUUUAAAUCAAAGGGCAUACAGAAUUUGUAGCUUUAUCAAAACUGUAAUUGAUUUACUCUUGAAUUAGUCAUGUUUAGGGAUCUUUACUUGAUAUGACUUGAGAUACUUAGGGUUGACUGUGUAACUUGAAGCUGGCCAGCAUCAACAAGAACUUAUAUCUUGAGAAAGAAUGAAGCGGCUCUUUCCCUAAUUUGUCUCCACUUUGAAUAUCUCUAGCUUUAUUGGCUCGCUCGUUCAACGGUUUUGCAGACCACAACUCUCCUGUGCGGAGGAGCUUAAGAAGGGUUCAUUCGUAUAUACUUCAUAGGAUUUUUUUUCUUUAGA